CCUAACACAUGCAAGUCGAGCGGUAGCACAGAGAGCUUGCUCUCGGGUGACGAGCGGCGGACGGGUGAGUAAUGUCUGGGAAACUGCCUGAUGGAGGGGGAUAACUACUGGAAACGGUAGCUAAUACCGCAUAAUGUCGCAAGACCAAAGUGGGGGACCUUCGGGCCUCAUGCCAUCAGAUGUGCCCAGAUGGGAUUAGCUAGUAGGUGGGGUAAUGGCUCACCUAGGCGACGAUCCCUAGCUGGUCUGAGAGGAUGACCAGCCACACUGGAACUGAGACACGGUCCAGACUCCUACGGGAGGCAGCAGUGGGGAAUAUUGCACAAUGGGCGCAAGCCUGAUGCAGCCAUGCCGCGUGUGUGAAGAAGGCCUUCGGGUUGUAAAGCACUUUCAGCGGGGAGGAAGGCGGUGAGGUUAAUAACCUCACCGAUUGACGUUACCCGCAGAAGAAGCACCGGCUAACUCCGUGCCAGCAGCCGCGGUAAUACGGAGGGUGCAAGCGUUAAUCGGAAUUACUGGGCGUAAAGCGCACGCAGGCGGUCUGUCAAGUCGGAUGUGAAAUCCCCGGGCUUAACCUGGGAACUGCAUUCGAAACUGGCAGGCUAGAGUCUUGUAGAGGGGGGUAGAAUUCCAGGUGUAGCGGUG
rnacentral:rRNA from 1 species